UCCCUGCACAGAUCCAGGCUGUCUCUUGCAGUGCGCAUGCACCUACCGUAUCGUUAUCAACGUCGCCCAGGCAGAUUGCGUGCGGGAAGAGGCUCCCGCUGAACUCCAGCGCCACGCGCUGCACGUAGCUAACUGACCUCAUGGCACCUCCAAGAGCAGAGGGAGCGGGGAGGCCCAGUAAAUGUUCCCCGAACCCCCGUCGCAACAGCCGCCAGAGCGGAAGACCACCUAAGGCAGAAAGUUACGUCACUGCCUGAACCUCCAAUCUCUGCCUCUUCCUCCUUUAACCUUACUGAGGAGGCGGGUCUUCCGGGCUUGGAGGCGGGCUUACCAACUCUGAUGUGCAGCAAGACUUGGUUUGAAAAAGGAGACAAAAGGCUGAGAGAUCUGAGUUCAAGUUUCCGCUGUAUGAAUGAAGAUACCCAGCAGAUGUGUGCCAAGAUUCUACAAAUGGUACAUACGGAGUGUUCUCACCCAAAAAGAUACCAACUUGGGCAUGGAAAGACCUGUUUCUCCUGGACUCCUGGAUGUGCCAGGCAUCGAGACAGGGAAGACCCACUGAGGUCUUCAGGAUUUGCCCAUCACCCUGGGGACUGUCUGGCCUGCUGGCAGGUGACAGUGGCCUGU
rnacentral:sRNA from 1 species